rnacentral:tRNA from 1 species
UCCUCCAGUUCAGUCGGUAGAACGCGGACUGUUAAUCCGUAUGUCACUGGUUCGAGUCCAGUCAGAGGAGCCA